UGGGGAAUAUUGCACAAUGGGCGGAAGCCUGAUGCAGCGACGCCGCGUGGGGGAUGACGGCCUUCGGGUUGUAAACCUCUUUCAGUGCAGAACAAGGCUCUUUGUGGGUUGAGGGUAUGCGCAGAAGAAGCGCCGGCUAACUACGCGCCAGCAGCCGCGGUAAUACGUAGGGCGCGAGCGUUGUCCGGAUUUAUUGGGCGUAAGGAGCUCGUAGGCGAUUUGUCGCGUCUGCUGUGAAAUCCUCUGGCUUAACUGGGGGCGUGCAGUGGGUACGGGCAGACUGGAGUGCGGUAGGGGAGACUGGAAUUCCUGGUGUAGCGGUGGAAUGCGCAGAUAUCAGGAGGAACACCGGUGGCGAAGGCGGGUCUCUGGGCCGUUACUGACGCUGAGGAGCGAAAGCAUGGGGAGCGAACAG
rnacentral:rRNA from 1 species